UGCUCACUGACCACAGAGGAAAGGUAUCUUUAAAGACAGCGUCCUUCUUCACUCCACACAGAGAGAUGAGAGGAGCAAAUAUGAGUUUAACUGCAGCAGCGAGAGGAUUUGUCGUCUUCCUUCUCUCUGUGUCAGUGAUUCAGGGCCAGAACAGCUGGGGAGUGACUUACACCUCUACUCA